GACGAACGCUGUCGGCGUGCUUAACACAUGCAAGUCGAACGGAAAGGCCCUGCUUUUGUGGGGUGCUCGAGUGGCGAACGGGUGAGUAACACGUGAGUAACCUGCCCUUGACUUUGGGAUAACUUCAGGAAACUGGGGCUAAUACCGGAUAGGAGCUCCUGCUGCAUGGUGGGGGUUGGAAAGUUUCGGCGGUUGGGGAUGGACUCGCGGCUUAUCAGCUUGUUGGUGGGGUAGUGGCUUACCAAGGCUUUGACGGGUAGCCGGCCUGAGAGGGUGACCGGCCACAUUGGGACUGAGAUACGGCCCAGACUCCUACGGGAGGCAGCAGUGGGGAAUAUUGCACAAUGGGCGGAAGCCUGAUGCAGCAACGCCGCGUGCGGGAUGACGGCCUUCGGGUUGUAAACCGCUUUCGCCUGUGACGCAGCGUGAGUGACGGUAAUGGGUAAAGAAGCACCGGCUAACUACGUGCCAGCAGCCGCGGUGAUACGUAGGGUGCGAGCGUUGUCCGGAUUUAUUGGGCGUAAAGGGCUCGUAGGUGGUUGAUCGCGUCGGAAGUGUAAUCUUGGGGCUUAACCCUGAGCGUGCUUUCGAUACGGGUUGACUUGAGGAAGGUAGGGGAGAAUGGAAUUCCUGGUGGAGCGGUGGAAUGCGCAGAUAUCAGGAGGAACACCAGUGGCGAAGGCGGUUCUCUGGGCCUUUCCUGACGCUGAGGAGCGAAAGCGUGGGGAGCGAACAGGCUUAGAUACCCUGGUAGUCCACGCUGUAAACGGUGGGUACUAGGUGUGGGGUCCAUUCCACGGGUUCCGUGCCGUAGCUAACGCUUUAAGUACCCCGCCUGGGGAGUACGGCCGCAAGGCUAAAACUCAAAGGAAUUGACGGGGCCCCGCACAAGCGGCGGAGCAUGCGGAUUAAUUCGAUGCAACGCGUAGAACCUUACCUGGGUUUGACAUGGAUCGGGAGUGCUCAGAGAUGGGUGUGCCUCUUUUGGGGUCGGUUCACAGGUGGUGCAUGCCUGUCGUCAGCUCGUGUCGUGAGAUGUUGGGUUAAGUCCCGCAACGAGCGCAACCCUUGUUCACUGUUGCCAGCACGUUAUGGUGGGGACUCAGUGGAGACCGCCGGGGUCAACUCGGAGGAAGGUGGGGAUGACGUCAAGUCAUCAUGCCCCUUAUGUCCAGGGCUUCACGCAUGCUACAAUGGCUGGUACAGAGAGUGGCGAGCCUGUGAGGGUGAGCGAAUCUCGGAAAGCCGGUCUCAGUUCGGAUUGGGGUCUGCAACUCGACCUCAUGAAGUCGGAGUCGCUAGUAAUCGCAGAUCAGCAACGCUGCGGUGAAUACGUUCCCGGG
rnacentral:rRNA from 1 species